CCUACGGGUGGCUGCAGUGGGGAAUUUUCCACAAUGGGCGAAAGCCUGAUGGAGCAACGCCGCGUGUGUGAUGAAGGUCUUCGGAUCGUAAAGCACUUUCGACCGGGACGAAAAACCUCUGGCUAACAUCCAGGGGCCUGACGGUACCGGGAGAAGAAGCACCGGCUAACUCUGUGCCAGCAGCCGCGGUAAUACAGAGGCGGCAAGCGUUGUUCGGAAGCAUUGGGCGUAAACUUGGCGUAUGCGGCUUGAAAGCCCAUGGCUUAACCAUGGAAGUGCGUCUGAAACUGCCGAGCUUGAGUGCCGGAGAGGAUGGCGGAAUUCCGCAAGUAGAGGUGAAAUUCGUAGAUAUGCGGAGGAACACCGGUGGCGAAGGCGGCCAUCUGGACGGUAACUGACGCUGAGACGCGAAAGCGUGGGGAGCAAACAGGAUUAGAUACCCGAGUAGUC
rnacentral:rRNA from 1 species